rnacentral:rRNA from 2 species
ACUGGCCCAACUGAUUGAUGGUGCUUGCACCUGAUUGACGAUGGAUCACCAGUGAGUGGCGGACGGGUGAGUAACACGUAGGUAACCUGCCCCGGAGCGGGGGAUAACAUUUGGAAACAGAUGCUAAUACCGCAUAACAGCAAAAGCCACAUGGCUUUUGCUUGAAAGAUGGCUUUGGCUAUCACUCUGGGAUGGACCUGCGGUGCAUUAGCUAGUUGGUAAGGUAACGGCUUACCAAGGCGAUGAUGCAUAGCCGAGUUGAGAGACUGAUCGGCCACAAUGGAACUGAGACACGGUCCAUACUCCUACGGGAGGCAGCAGUAGGGAAUCUUCCACAAUGGGCGCAAGCCUGAUGGAGCAACACCGCGUGAGUGAAGAAGGGUUUCGGCUCGUAAAGCUCUGUUGUUGGAGAAGAACGUGCGUGAGAGUAACUGUUCACGCAGUGACGGUAUCCAACCAGAAAGUCACGGCUAACUACGUGCCAGCAGCCGCGGUAAUACGUAGGUGGCAAGCGUUAUYCGGAUUUAUUGGGCGUAAAGCGAGCGCAGGCGGUUGCUUAGGUCUGAUGUGAAAGCCUUCGGCUUAACCGAAGAAGUGCAUCGGAAACCGGGCGACUUGAGUGCAGAAGAGGACAGUGGAACUCCAUGUGUAGCGGUGGAAUGCGUAGAUAUAUGGAAGAACACCAGUGGCGAAGGCGGCUGUCUGGUCUGCAACUGACGCUGAGGCUCGAAAGCAUGGGUAGCGAACAGGAUUAGAUACCCUGGUAGUCCAUGCCGUAAACGAUGAGUGCUAGGUGUUGGAGGGUUUCCGCCCUUCAGUGCCGGAGCUAACGCAUUAAGCACUCCGCCUGGGGAGUACGACCGCAAGGUUGAAACUCAAAGGAAUUGACGGGGGCCCGCACAAGCGGUGGAGCAUGUGGUUUAAUUCGAAGCUACGCGAAGAACCUUACCAGGUCUUGACAUCUUGCGCUAACCUUAGAGAUAAGGCGUUCCCUUCGGGGACGCAAUGACAGGUGGUGCAUGGUCGUCGUCAGCUCGUGUCGUGAGAUGUUGGGUUAAGUCCCGCAACGAGCGCAACCCUUGUUACUAGUUGCCAGCAUUAAGUUGGGCACUCUAGUGAGACUGCCGGUGACAAACCGGAGGAAGGUGGGGACGACGUCAGAUCAUCAUGCCCCUUAUGACCUGGGCUACACACGUGCUACAAUGGACGGUACAACGAGUCGCAAGCUCGCGAGAGUAAGCUAAUCUCUUAAAGCCGUUCUCAGUUCGGACUGUAGGCUGCAACUCGCCUACACGAAGUCGGAAUCGCUAGUAAUCGCGGAUCAGCAUGCCGCGGUGAAUACGUUCCCGGGCCUUGUACACACCGCCCGUCACACCAUGGGAGUUUGUAACGCCCAAAGUCGGUGGCCUAACCUUUAUGGAGGGAUCUGCGUAACGGCGGGACAGAUGACUGGGG